ensembl:snRNA U6 U6 spliceosomal RNA
GUGCUUGCUUCAGUGGCAUAUAUAUUAAAUUGGAACAAAACAGAGAAGAUUAGCAUGGCCCCUGUGCAAGGAUGAUAUGCAAAUUCAUGAGGUGAUCCAUAUUUUU